ACGGGUGAGUAACACGUGGGAACCUUCCCUAUAGUGCGGAAUAGCCCAGGGAAACUUGGAGUAAUACCGCAUACGCCCGAGAGGGGAAAGAUUUAUCGCUAUAGGAUGGGCCCGCGUAGGAUUAGCUAGUUGGUGAGGUAACGGCUCACCAAGGCGACGAUCCUUAGCUGGUUUGAGAGAACGACCAGCCACACUGGGACUGAGACACGGCCCAGACUCCUACGGGAGGCAGCAGUGGGGAAUAUUGGACAAUGGGCGCAAGCCUGAUCCAGCCAUGCCGCGUGAGUGAUGAAGGCCUUAGGGUUGUAAAGCUCUUUUGCCGGGGACGAUAAUGACGGUACCCGGAGAAUAAGUCCCGGCUAACUUCGUGCCAGCAGCCGCGGUAAUACGAAGGGGACUAGCGUUGUUCGGAAUCACUGGGCGUAAAGCGCACGUAGGCGGAUUUGCAAGUCAGGGGUGAAAUCCCGGGGCUCAACCUCGGAACUGCCUUUGAUACUGCGAGUCUUGAGUCCGAUAGAGGUGGGUGGAAUUCCUAGU
rnacentral:rRNA from 1 species